rnacentral:rRNA from 1 species
GAUGAACGCUGGCGGCGUGCCUAAUACAUGCAAGUCGAGCGAACAGACGAGGAGCUUGCGCCUCGGACGUUAGCGGCGGACGGGUGAGUAACACGUGGAUAACCUACCUAUCAGACUGGGAUAACUUCGGGAAACCGGCGCUAAUACCGGAUAAUAUAUUGAACCGCAGGGUUCAAUAGUGAAAGACGGUUUUGCUGUCACUUAUAGAUGGAUCUGCGCUGCAUUAGCUGGUUGGUAAGGUAACGGCUUACCAAGGCAACGAUGCGUAGCCGACCUGUGAGGGGGGUCGGCCGCCCUGGAGCGGAGCCAGCGUCCAGGCGCCUGCGGGAGGCAGCAGUCGGCAAUCGUCCGCAAUGGGCGGAAACCUUGCGGAGCGGGCCGGAGUGAGAUAUAAAGGUCCUCGGUGCGUAAAACUGUGUUAUGGGGUAAGAACAAAUGUGGAAGUAACUAAGCACGGCUUGACGGUACCUAGUCAGAAAGCCACGGCUAACUACGUG